CCGGCGGCCGGUUCGGCGCCGUCGGGGUCGGCCCCGUUCGGACCGGUGCCGUUCGGACCUGUGCCGUUCGGACCGGUGCCGUCGGG
rnacentral:tRNA from 1 species